AGUGAACGCUGGCGGUAGGCCUAACACAUGCAAGUCGAACGGCAGCACAGUAAGAGCUUGCUCUUACGGGUGGCGAGUGGCGGACGGGUGAGGAAUACAUCGGAAUCUACUUUUUCGUGGGGGAUAACGUAGGGAAACUUACGCUAAUACCGCAUACGACCUACGGGUGAAAGCAGGGGAUCUUCGGACCUUGCGCGAUUGAAUGAGCCGAUGUCGGAUUAGCUAGUUGGCGGGGUAAAGGCCCACCAAGGCGACGAUCCGUAGCUGGUCUGAGAGGAUGAUCAGCCACACUGUAACUGAGACACGGUCCAGACUACUACGGGAGGCACCAGUGGGGAAUAUGGGACAAUGGGCUCAAGCCUGAUCCAGCCAUACCGCGUGGGUGAAGAAGGCGUUCGGGUGGUAAAGCCCUUUUGUUGGGAAAGAAAAGCAGCAGGUUAAUACCCCGCUGUUCUGACGGUACCCAAAGAAUAAGCCCCGGCUAACUUCGUG
rnacentral:rRNA from 1 species